rnacentral:rRNA from 1 species
AAAAACAUUUUUUAUAAAAAUAAAUAUAAAUAAAAUCUGCUCAAUGUUUUUAAAUAGCCGCAGAAUUUUAACUGUGCUAAGGUAGCAUAAUCAUUUACCUUUUAAUUAAAGGUCUGUAUGAAAGAUUUUACAAUUAAAUUCCUUUUUUGUGGAUAUUAAUAUAAUUUAAAUUAAGAAUAAAAAUGUUCUUAUAAUUCAAAAAGACGACAAGACCCUAUUGAACUUUACUCAAGUUAAGCUGGGGAAGCUAAUUAAACACUAUUUUAAUUUAAAUAAAUUUCUAAUAAAAUUAAAUAGAACAAGUUACCAUAGGGAUAACAGCGUAAUAAUUCUCAAAAGCUCUUAUUGAAAAAAAGGAUUACGACCUCGAUGUUGAAUU